rnacentral:rRNA from 1 species
GAUGAACGCUGACAGAAUGCUUAACACAUGCAAGUCAACUUGAACUUCGGUUUGGGUGGCGGACGGGUGAGUAACGCGUAAAGAACUUGCCUCACAGCUAGGGACACCAUUUGGAAACGAAUGCUAAUACCUGAUAUUAUGAUUAUAUGGCAUCGUAUAAUUAUGAAAGCUAUAUGCGCUGUGAGAGAGCUUUGCGUCCCAUUAGCUAGUUGGAGAGGUAACAGCUCACCAAGGCGAUGAUGGGUAGCCGGCCUGAGUGGGUGAUCGGCCACAAGGGGACUGAGACACGGCCCUUACUCCAACGGGAGGCAGCAGUGGGGAAUAUUGGACAAUGGACCGAGAGUCUGAUCCAGCAAUUCUGUGUGCACGAUGAAGUUUUUCGGAAUGUAAAGUGCUUUCAGUUGGGAAGAAAAAAAUGACGGUACCAACAGAAGAAGUGACGGCUAAAUACGUG